CAAGCAUAGUACAUCCCCUCGAAAAUAUGCCUAAGUGAGUUCAGUAGCUCGCGCUAGAGGCGCCGUAAUAAGCGCAAUUUUAACCUACAAACUUUCUCCCGCGCUCAUCGAAGCGUUUUUAUUACUUGACAUAGAGCACAAAAUUAUUAUUCUUAAUUAGAGAUUGUACUGUUGAGUACCAACUGUUUCUUUUUUGCCAUUAUAAACGCAAAAUAACGUUCAUCAUCACCGAUCUCCCACGUGACCUCUGGCCUGGAUUUAAAAUUUUUACCGGUAUUUUUCGCGAACACGGCAAGCACGGAUUCAUUGGUUCGUACACUUAUGCUGGUUGCUUAUUUUGUGCUAAAACCAGUUUAUCGCGCUUCGACACCUCGCGUUAUUUAACUUGGGGUGAAGUGACGGGUUUGCGAGAAAUGUAAGCCCGAAAGCUAGGUUUCGGUCGUGAGCCAUGCGGAACAAGUCUGCAUCGAAACGGGAGCCGGAUUCUGCUGCGACUGAGGACGGCAAUACCGACAUGCAGUAAAGAGGAUGGCACCAGUGUAAAGCAGCACUCCAUACACCAAAGACAAGCUACUUCCUGCUACAACAAGGCCAUUGUGUGGACUUUGGCUGUUACUACAAGAAUCUGCACCAAGCACACCAUGGUCCUCAUCACAGGAGCCCCCAUCUACCCUGACAGGAAGGGGCUGGAGCCGAAUUUACAAGGAUUUUACACCACAAACAAAGAAGCGGAUGCAGAAGUAUUUGGAUGAGAUAUCAAGUCUACGGAGGACUGUGUCAAGACUGAAAAGAGCCUCAGCCAUCAUUCCACCAGCACGGGUAUUGGCCGAGUCAUCCAGGUACCUCAACAAAGACUUUCUAGAAAUUCUUCAUGUUGAGAUGCACCUGCAACCAUUCAACAAGCAUGGACGACGCUGGCCAAAAGAGUUCCAUCAGUUUGCCCUUCCUUAAUCAGCUUCCUGGUCAUGUCAAAUUCCAUUUAUGCCGAGUAUACAUUUUUUCUAUAAAUGCAAGCUUUUUCAUUCCCCACUCUUGCUAGGGAUAAUUCUUCUUCCUCAUCCAAACAUGAAGGUCAACCGAUUCUGUGCUCAUACUUAAUACCAUUCACUGUCUAGUAGCAUACCAUAUCUGUAGCAAUAUUUCUUAGUGUAUGCUGCCAUGUACAAUUCCUCUCCAGAAAUAGCCGAUGCAGCAUCGGAAUGCGUCUUGCAUUAACCGUUGCACCGUGUGCUAUGUAGCAUUUGACUUUUCUUAAUGUUUUUGGCCUUCAGUGCUUGUAGAGCCAAGUGGCUUCUUUCAUGAACACAAGCUUUCUGAUUGCCAUAUUUAAUUCCUAGUCUUAUUCAGCAUUGCUCUUCUUGCUCAAUAGCCUGGGUGUAGCCCUGCUUGUUUAGCCUUGCCUUGUUCGAUAACCUUCAGUGUACCUUGUGCUACACUGAAGUGAUUGAUUACAGAGUCUGGUUUCGCUGCUGUCCCACUUGGUCGUGGUCGCCGUGUUACGUUUCUCGGAUGUGGGGACCUGGUAAGUUGCAUUGGUAAGCAGUCUCUCGAGGUAAGCACCUGCUCCUGCAGUCCGCACAGCAACAUAGACUCCCAAUUUACACGCACCGUGAUUGGUGCUCCCCGUUCUGUCCUUUCCUGCUGUAGCCAUGUGCAAAUUUUGCUUGUGGCCUUCGUCAGCUGCAAUUUAGCAUGAACAUAGAC